GACGGAGGAUGCAAGCGUUAUCCGGAAUGAUUGGGCGUAAAGCGUCCGCAGGUGGCAGUUCAAGUCUGCUGUCAAAGGCCGGGGCUUAACUUCGGGAAGGCAGUGGAAACUGAACAGCUAGAGUAUGGUAGGGGCAGAGGGAAUUCCUGGUGUAGCGGUGAAAUGCGUAGAGAUCAGGAAGAACAUCGGUGGCGAAGGCGCUCUGCUGGACCAUAACUGACACUCAGGGACGAAAGCUAGGGGAGCGAAUGGG
rnacentral:rRNA from 1 species